UGGAAGUAAAAGUCGUAACAAGGUCUCCGUUGGUGAACCAGCGGAGGGAUCAUUACCGAGUUUACAACUCCCAAACCCCUGUGAACAUACCACUUGUUGCCUCGGCGGAUCAGCCCGCUCCCGGUAAAACGGGACGGCCCGCCAGAGGACCCCUAAACUCUGUUUCUAUAUGUAACUUCUGAGUAAAACCAUAAAUAAAUCAAAACUUUCAACAACGGAUCUCUUGGUUCUGGCAUCGAUGAAGAACGCAGCAAAAUGCGAUAAGUAAUGUGAAUUGCAGAAUUCAGUGAAUCAUCGAAUCUUUGAACGCACAUUGCGCCCGCCAGUAUUCUGGCGGGCAUGCCUGUUCGAGCGUCAUUUCAACCCUCAAGCACAGCUUGGUGUUGGGACUCGCGUUAAUUCGCGUUCCUCAAAUUGAUUGGCGGUCACGUCGAGCUUCCAUAGCGUAGUAGUAAAACCCUCGUUACUGGUAAUCGUCGCGGCCACGCCGUUAAACCCCAACUUCUGAAUGUUGACCUCGGAUCAGGUAGGAAUACCCGCUGAACUUAAGCAUA
rnacentral:rRNA from 1 species